rnacentral:lncRNA from 1 species
UCCGGCCCCCUGCGCUCUGACCUCCUUUUUCUCCACCUCCUUUACGGCUUUACCAUCACCUCAUCCACCUCGUUCCCCUCCAAUGCCGGCUCCUCCGAACUCCCCACCCCAUUCUGCCCCAAAAACCCCUCCGACUCCCGCACAAGCCCUUCUCCUCCCUUGACUGACAAGCUCACCAACAAAAACUGGCUCCCAUCCACCCUCCCACGCUAGCACACCCCCAGAACGAAGGAAUCAAAGAACUAGGAAGAUUGAAGAAUGAAGAAGCUAGAAGCAAAUGAGGUCUAAGGAGGAAAGAGGAAUAGCCGUGCUGGAAUUUGGGAACUGGGAAGUUGGAAUUGGGACAAAGAGGCAAGGAGACGUCAAGGACAAGAGGAAUAGCUCGUAGCCGAAUGCCAUAGGUGAUAGGUUCAUAGGUUUACGCCUUACCUUACCAGCUUUACAGCCAUGGCGUCAAUGGCGAUGGGAUUGGGACAGGCUACAGUUGACAACCAUUCUCAGCGAUAGGCCGAGGCCUUUUUUGGGGCCGGGGCCUUAGGCGACCGCCUAGGUCGCCUAACGGUCGGGCCGGCCCUG